ensembl:lncRNA
CGGGAGGCCUCUUAUUACAGACUAGAUGUUUUCUGUGAGAGAAGUAAUUUGUUAAUGAAAGCAAUCAAAUUCAUAUAUAUACGUAAAAUGAUGUAUCAGGGUUUAAUCUACAGUAGCAUUUGUCAGGAGGGAAUGAAACUUCAUACUAAUUUAGUGAAAAUAGAACCUAAUAAUGUUCUGUGUUUCUCUUUUGGUAUUUAACUGAUAAUCUUUUAGAGGAGGGGAUGUGAGGAGGUGAGCCAUCAGCCUGAGCUGUCAUUUGGUUCUUCUGAGCAUGGAAUGAUGUUAGAAAACUUGCAGUAUGGGGAAGCAAAGUGAGAUAGGAGUUAAAUAAGGUCAUUUAUGGAAAGUCUACGUCUUGUAGUUACGUACAACAGCAUUUGUCAGCACGUGACAAAUGAACUCCAUGAAUGGUUGUGUUUCUGCAAUCAAAACAACGGACAGAACGGAGGCAGUAGAGGGUGAUGCAUGAGCCAAGAUGAGCAACCAAGGGAAUAGAAUGGGUCUCUUCACUUUUUUUUGUGAUUCAGAGAAGAGUGCUGAGAAACUGGAAGCACUGGAGUCCCAGGAAGAAGAGAGUGCCAAUUUUCUGCAAGCACAGGACAUUGAAAAUAUCACUGCGUUAACCAUAGCAAAUACCACUAGAACUGUUUGUUUUAAUACCCUCUUGUAUUUAACAAAUGGCUUCACAGUUUUAAGGUUUGAUUAAUCAGUUCAUUGUGUUCUUUCUUCAGAAGAAAACGUGUUGCUGAUCUCCCUUGGCAGGAGAGACAUGCGGGUUCUAGCUGAAAUGAUGAAGCAUUCUUUAAAUUAUCAAAACAAAAAUAUGCCUUGACACUCUGCUCUUCUCUGCCGCUAUUCCAACCAAAUUUCAUUUGAAAAGAGUGAUGUGGCUCUUUUUUGUCGUUGGCUCUGCUGACCAUACUUCAUCUGGAUGAGAUUCUUCACGUUCGUGAGAUGUGGCAGCAGUUGGGCACUGUUUUCUCUUGCACUGCUCUCUACUUCCAAAGUUUUUAAUACUGCAGCUCAGGUCAAACAAUAAGUAGAAAAUAUUGCUGAAUAUACAUAAGCUAUCUAAAAGCAAACAAGAUCUCACUAUAAGUUCUUUCCUUCCUGCUUCUGUUUUUCUUUCAAGUUUUCUGGUUGUUGUUUUUCUUUUUAAAAAAGAAAUCACAGUUGUUGUUUUUUUCUUUUUAAUAAUUUUACAAAACAUUCUUUAAGGUAAAGUCUGUGCUAAGGGGGAUGCCUUUGAAAUGCAGCUAUGAAAAUCAUAUGCUCUUUGGGAUUGAAUCCAGUAGAUAAACCAGGUCAUUCCAAAGCUUCUGCGUCACAUGUGAGAAGAUCCACUUGUGCCAUCCAUCUCAAAAACAAAAAGCCCACACGUGUCUUUUGGAGGACGAGUGCAUUUUACUUCUCCAACUAAUUCAUGUUACACGUUCAGGUUUUUUUUAUGAGCUUUUAUUUCUUUCUUCCAUUACUUUUCUUCUGGAAAGUGAUAAGUAGCAUAAUUUGGUUUUUAUUUUUGUUUCUUUGGUGACAGAGAGAGAAAGGAAAUUUGUGCCUUUAAGGUAAUUCUCAUUUGAUGUCCAUUCCUGAACAUUCC